rnacentral:misc_RNA from 1 species
UCCGUGUUAACCACGGCAGUCUCCUUAGAGAGCCCAACUAAAUGCUGGCAACUAAGGACAAGGGUUGCGCUCGUUGCGGGACUUAACCCAACAUGUCACCACACGAGCUGACGACAGCCAUGCAGCACCUGUCUCUCGGUCGUAUUGCUACGAAGACUGUAUCUCUACAGCUGUCCGAGGAUGUCAAACCCAGGUAAGGUUCUUCGCGUUGCUUCGAAUUAAACCACAUGAUCCACCGCUUGUGCGGGCCCCCGUCAAUUCCUUUGAGUUUUAGUCUUGCGACCGUACUUCCCAGGCGGGGUACUUAGUGCGUUAGCGCCGCUUCAGCGGGGGUCAAGACCCACCAAAGCUAGUACCCAUCGUUUACGGCGUGGACUAC